rnacentral:rRNA from 1 species
UACGGAGGAUGCGAGCGUUAUCCGGAUUCAUUGGGUUUAAAGGGUGCGCAGGCGGAAUGAUAAGUCAGUGGUGAAAUCCUACGGCUCAACUGUAGAACUGCCAUUGAUACUGUCAUUCUUGAGUAUAGUUGGAGUGGGCGGAAUGUAGCAUGUAGCGGUGAAAUGCUUAGAUAUGCUACAGAACACCGAUCGUGAAGACAGCUCACUAAACUAUAACUGACGCUCAUGCACGAAAGCGUGGGGAUCAAACAGGAUUAGAUACCCUGGUAGUCCACGCUGUAAACGAUGAUUACUCGAUGUUGGCGAUACACAGUCAGCGUCUGAGCGAAAGCAUUAAGUAAUCCACCUGGGGAGUACGGCGGCAACGCUG